AUUGAACGCUGGCGGCAUGCCUUACACAUGCAAGUCGAACGGCAGCGCGGGAGCAAUCCUGGCGGCGAGUGGCGAACGGGUGAGUAAUAUAUCGGAACGUGCCCAGUAGUGGGGGAUAGCCCGGCGAAAGCCGGAUUAAUACCGCAUACGACCUACGGGUGAAAGGGGGGGAUCGGAAGACCUCGCGCUAUUGGCGCGGCAGAUAUCAGAUUAGGUAGUUGGUGGGGUAAAGGCCCACCAAGCCUGCGAUCUGUAGUUGGUCUGAGAGGACGACCAGCCACACUGGGACUGAGACACGGCCCAGACUCCUACGGGAGGCAGCAGUGGGGAAUUUUGGACAAUGGGGGCAACCCUGAUCCAGCAAUGCCGCGUGCAGGAAGAAGGCCUUCGGGUUGUAAACUGCUUUUGUCAGGGAAGAAAUCUUCUGGGUUAAUACCUCGGGAGGAUGACGGUACCUGAAGAAUAAGCACCGGCUAACUACGUGCCAGCAGCCGCCGUAA
rnacentral:rRNA from 1 species